AUGCUUUCACAUGGAACCAUGAACCUUAUUUUAGUAGUCCUCUCUUCGACCUGGACGCUAUGCUUCAGUUCCUCUGUUUCCAGUAGCCACUUUUCACUAAGCGCUGCAUCCCUGCAUACCCUCCAGCCCUUCUGUUUGAAUCCUGCACUAACCUAUUGCCGUCUCAGUUCGACAAACGGAUUCUUUUUGCAUCCGGCAGCGACUGCAGAAAUGGCGAGUGCACAUGGUGAAUUGGAGAAGAAGCUACAGGAUCCAAAUGCACCACCAAUGUUUCUUCCACUUGAUUUUUUGCAAGAUAUCACAUGUGACUUCUCCACAGAGUCGAAACUUGGCGAAGGCGGGUAUGGAAUAGUUUACAAGGGAGUUCUCCGGACUGGGAAAAUCAUCGCUGUCAAGAAGCUGUUUGAAAUGCGAUUAAAAGAGGAGACGUUUCAGAAUGAGGUCAGUUAUCUUAUGGGGAUCAAACACCAAAACAUAGUGCAGCUUAAAGGUUACUGCGCUGAGUCAAGAUGGGAAGCAAUUGAGAGACCAAGUGGAAGUGGGAAGCAUGUUUUUGCUGAAAUUCCAAAAAGGUUGCUCUGCUUCGAGUACAUAUCCAACAAAAGCCUCAAGAAACAUAUUUCUGAUGAAUCUUUGGGCCUUGAGUGGAAUAUGAGAUACGACAUAAUCAAGGGGAUUUGCAGUGGCAUGCAUUUCCUUCAUGAUGAAUGCCAUAUCGUUCAUCUGGACCUAAAGCCAGAAAAUAUAUUGAUAGACUCUACCAUGACAGCAAAAAUCGCGGAUUUUGGUUUAUCAAGGAUCUUUGGAGAGCAAGAAUCACAAAUUAUCACGGAUAAUCGUGCUGGAACAUGUGGAUAUAUGGCGCCAGAAUACUUAAUCCGAGGUGUAGUGUCAAACAAGGCAGAUAUCUUCAGUAUGGGUGUCAUAGUUAUAGAGAUAAUUACAGGUCAUAGGGACUAUCCAGAUUUCCAGCAAGAUAAUCCCCACAGUGCUGCAGCAUCACUCCAGCAAUUCACAGAAAAAGUGCACCUUAGCUGGAGGAACAAACUCAUGUCCACACCAGACUAUAAAUCAACAGAAACAUCUGUCCGACAAGUAAGACAAUGUAUUGGUAUAGCGCUUGAAUGUGUGCACCCUAGCAUGGAGAAAAGACCUACUGCAAAGGAUAUACUCGAAAUGCUUAAUGGAUUAGACAAGAUGGUGGCAGACUACGAGCCGCUGUCGGACAUGCAGUGCAAGGACAUGCUGCAGGCCCUGAACACUACUGUGAGUAACGAUCUCACAUCCCAGAACCGGAGUAUAACUAACGACAUGUUAAACAAAGAGACAGAUAGUAAAGUGGUGGCCAAUGCGAAAUCGGUGGAGGGUUUGUUACACACACCUUUGCCAGAAUCAAACAAAAUAAAUGAGAUGGUGAAGUGGUGGGCAGCGAAGGCAUCCUGUAAGCCACAACCAACAAGGGACACAACCAUUGUGCAGGCAAUCCCUACUUUAACACAGAUCAUAUCUAGGGAGGUCCCUAAAGAGCGCAUGAUUUCACUAGACAUAAAUCAGACAGAGUCAUGGAUUGCAACAGGCCACGAAAAUGGAUAUAUUGAUAUAUGUGAUUAUAUCAUGCAGAAAUCAGUGUGUUUGGUUAAAAUCGAAGAUGUUGACGCCCCAGUUGAUAAUAUUAAAUUUAUUGAAAGAAAGCAAUGGUUUAUUGUUGGGUUAGGGGCUGGGAGUGGCAAAAUCUAUGUGUAUAGCUAUAAACCGGAGGUGCAGAAAAUCACGAGUUUUCGUGUUAAGAGAUACUUAAUCGGUAUCGACUCACUGGCCGUUCAUCCAACCCAACCGUAUGUGUUGUCAUCAUGUAGUGGGUACAUACAACUUUGGGACUGGGAUAGGAACUGGGAGUGCGUCAAAAAGUUUGAGAAACUAUCGUAUUUUAACAUGGAAUUGCAACUUGCAUUUAACCCGAAGGACCCCAAUGAAUUUGCUAGUACUUCAAAUGAUAUGACUGUAAAGCUUUGGAAUCUUGAUUCACUCAAGCCUAAAUAUAUUCUGGAUGGUCAUUCAGCCAAAGUGAACUGUGUUGAGUUCUUCACAACUGAUGAUAAUAAGCAGUAUUUGAUUACUGGAUCUAGUGACAAGUUUGCCAUGAUAUGGGACAUGCAGACAAAAGCAUGUGUUCAAAUAUUUGGAGAGUUCAAGUCGUCCGUUAUUUCUGUUGUUUCCCAUCCCAGUCUUCCAGUUUUAAUUAUAGGCACAAGAGAUGGCACUAUUCAUUUGUGGGGCACACAUUUCAGGUACAAGAGACAACUUACCACCGAGGGAGGUGCUAAUGGUCUCACAUGUUUGACGCCGCUAGGAAGGGUUGUGAUGGGAAACGAGUCGGCGCUAUUCACGAUGGAGAUCCUUGACGAAGAGCCGGAUGCUAUUGUGGAAGCUGAAGAAGCAGUUGCUAGCUAG
rnacentral:rRNA from 1 species